rnacentral:rRNA from 1 species
UACGAAGGGUGCAAGCGUUACUCGGAAUUACUGGGCGUAAAGCGUGCGUAGGUGGUGAGUUAAGUCUGUCGUGAAAGCCCCGGGCUCAACCUGGGAAUGGCGAUGGAUACUGGCUCGCUAGAGUGCGGUAGAGGAGAGUGGAAUUCCCGGUGUAGCAGUGAAAUGCGUAGAGAUCGGGAGGAACAUCAGUUGCGAAGGCGGCUCUCUGGACCAGCACUGACACUGAGGCACGAAAGCGUGGGGA